rnacentral:rRNA from 1 species
CACGUAGGGUGCGAGCGUUGUCCGGAAUUAUUGGGCGUAAAGAGCUCGUAGGCGGUGUGUCGCGUCGGCCGUGAAAACCUGGGGCUUAACUCUGGGCUUGCGGUCGAUACGGGCAUCACUUGAGUUCGGCAGGGGAGACUGGAAUUCCUGGUGUAGCGGUGAAAUGCGCAGAUAUCAGGAGGAACACCGGUGGCGAAGGCGGGUCUCUGGGCCGAUACUGACGCUGAGGAGCGAAAGCGUGGGGAGCAAACAGG